rnacentral:rRNA from 1 species
GAGUUUGAUCCUGGCUCAGGACGAACGCUGGCGGCGUGCCUAAUACAUGCAAGUUGAGCGCUGAAGGUUGGUACUUGUACCGACUGGAUGAGCAGCGAACGGGUGAGUAACGCGUGGGGAAUCUGCCUUUGAGCGGGGGACAACAUUUGGAAACGAAUGCUAAUACCGCAUAACAACUUUAAACAUAAGUUUUAAGUUUGAAAGAUGCAAUUGCAUCACUCAAAGAUGAUCCCGCGUUGUAUUAGCUAGUUGGUGAGGUAAAGGCUCACCAAGGCGAUGAUACAUAGCCGACCUGAGAGGGUGAUCGGCCACAUUGGGACUGAGACACGGCCCAAACUCCUACGGGAGGCAGCAGUAGGGAAUCUUCGGCAAUGGACGAAAGUCUGACCGAGCAACGCCGCGUGAGUGAAGAAGGUUUUCGGAUCGUAAAACUCUGUUGGUAGAGAAGAACGUUGGUGAGAGUGGAAAGCUCAUCAAGUGACGGUAACUACCCAGAAAGGGACGGCUAACUACGUGCCAGCAGCCGCGGUAAU